GGUUGGAUCAUUACUGAAAAGGUUAGGCCUUCGGGCUCCCAGUCCUCACUAUCCGAGUUUUUCUCGGUUAGGGACAAAGAAACAUUUUGUGAACUGUGUUGUCUCUGGUGGUUGGACAGAAGGUACAUAUGUGUCUUUGUUUAGACAUUGUUGCACUUUUGUCUGUCAGUCUGCUGUUGUUAACUGUCAGGCCGUGGACAAGCCACCAAAUGUUUGUGUCAACCUUGAUCAGAUAUUACUUGCCUAACACUAUUUUUGUACUAAAUGAUACAAACAACUUUUGGCAACGGAUCUCUUGGCUCUCGCAACGAUGAAGAACGCAGCGAAAUGCGAUAAGUAGUGUGAAUUGCAGAAUUCAGUGAAUCAUCGAAUCUUUGAACGCACAUUGCGCUUCCUGGUAUUCCGGGGAGCAUGCCCGUUUCAGAAUCAUAAAAUACUCUCACUCUUACACCGGCAUGGCCUGUGUGCAAGUGUGGAUGGUGGACAGCUUGUGUUGUACUGACACAAUUGUCUGAAAAUGAUGGUGUGUGCUCCACUUCCUAGUAAGUUGGCCAGCAAGGUGCAACAGAUGUAAAUCUUGAACACAUUGUGGCAGACAAACUAGAUCUGGUGGUACACAUUCUCUGGUCAGCCAGUUUUCUCGUGCUGAAAUGCCAUGAAAGCUGUAAAACCUGGUCUGAAAUCGGGCAAGAAAACCCGCUGAACUUAAGCAUAUCAAUAAGCGGAGGAAAAGAAACUAACAAGGAUUCCCCUAGUAAUGGCGAGUGAAGCGGGAACAGCUCAAAUUUAAAAUCUCACGGGGUUACCUGUGCGAAUUGUAGUUUAGAGAAGCGUUUUCGGGGGUGACGUGGGUAUAAGUCCUCUGGAAUGGGGCAUCAUAGAAGGUGAGAAUCCUGUUUAUGAUCCACUGUUCACUCCUAUGUGAUACGCUUUCCAAGAGUCAGGUAGUUUGGGAUUGCUGCCUAAAAUGGGUGGUAAAUACCAUCUAAAGCUAAAUAUUGGCGAGAGACCGAUAGCGAACAAGUACCGUGAGGGAAAGAUGAAAAGAACUUUGAAAAGAGAGUUAAACAGUACGUGAAAUUGCCAAAAGGGAAACGCUUGGAACCAGUAUUGUUUGCACGUAAUCAGCCGCACAGCCCCAAAAGGGUUAUUGUGGUGCACUUGCGUGCAGACAGGUCAACAUCAGUUUGGCCUUGGGUAAAAAGCCAAAGGAAGGUAGCUUGCUACUCCGGUGGUGAGUGUUAUAGCCUCUGGUCAUGCCUGGGACUGGACUGAGGUCUGCAGUGUUAUUUGGGUACCUGAUCGCCUCCUGAGCUUUACUUCCAGACAGCAUGCUGGCUGGGAGUAAAGUUAGGGAGCCCGGUCAGUUUACCACACCAACGCUUAGGAUGUUGACGAAAUGGUUCUAAACGACCCGUCUUGAAACACGGACCAAGGAGUCUAACAUAUAUGCGAGUAUUUGGGUGGCAAACCCUUAUGCGAAAUGAAAGUGAACUUAGGUGGGAUCCGGUCUGGAUUUUUUUGAUAGAUCUGAGUAAGAGCAUAUCUGUUGGGACCCGAAAGAUGGUGAACUAUGCCUGAAUAGGGUGAAGCCAGAGGAAACUCUGGUGGAGGCUCGUAGCGAUUCUGACGUGCAAAUCGAUCGUCAAAUUUGGGUAUAGGGGCGAAAGACUAAUCGAACCAUCUAGUAGCUGGUUCCCUC
rnacentral:misc_RNA from 1 species